rnacentral:rRNA from 1 species
GCUUACACAUGCAGUCGAACGCGAAAGGGACUUCGGUCCUGAGUAAAGUGGCGCACGGGUGAGUAACGCGUAGAUAACCUGUCUUCUUGUCUGGAAUAAUACGCCGAAAGGGGUACUAAUACCGGAUAUUCUUGCUUUAUAUAAGUUUUGCAAGGAAAGGUGGCCUCUGCAUAUGCUACUGCAGGAAGAGGGGUCUGCGUACCAUUAGCUAGUAGGUGGGGUAAUGGCCCACCUAGGCGACGGUGGUUAGCGGGUCUGAGAGGAUGAUCCGCCACACUGGCACUGGAACACGGGCCAGACUCCUACGGGAGGCAGCAGUGAGGAAUAUUGCGCAAUGGGGGCAACCCUGACGCAGCGACGCCGCGUGAGUGAGGAAGGCCUUCGGGUCGUAAAGCUCUGUCAAAGGGAAAGAAGUGCAUGGUGGCUAAUACCUGCCAUGUUUGACGGUACCCUUAAAGGAAGCACCGGCUAACUCCGUGCCAGCAGCCGCGGUAAUACGGAGGGUGCAAGCGUUGUUCGGAAUUACUGGGCGUAAAGGGCGCGUAGGCGGUUUGAUAAGUCAGAUGUGAAAGCCCAUGGCUUAACUGUGGAAGUGCAUUUGAAACUGUCAGACUUGAGUACCAGAGGGGAAAGUGGAAAUUCCCGG